rnacentral:lncRNA from 1 species
GGAAAUAUUUUUGCCAACAACUUAAGAGGAAAUGGAGAUUUAAAAAAAAAAAAAAGACACAAGAAACUUUUAGAAGAAAGCAUAAUACUAAACUUUUGUGACACUGAAUUAAGCAAAAAUUUCUUCAAUAAAAGAAAAACUGAUAAAUUAGAACUAAUCACAAUUUUAAAGCCUGAUGUAAAAACAUCAGUAAGGUACUGUGCCGCACUCAGGCAGUGCCUGCAGGGCAACCCUACCCGGCCCCUGCCUCCCCACAGGUCCCUCCUGGUUCCAGCCCUCCCCAGUGUCGCCACGCACUGCCCAAAGGAACCGCAGCCCAGCCUCUCCGUCACAGAGAGCUCACUUGGGCCACACCUGGCCCUGCGCCCUGAGCUGGACCUAGGGAGAGGGGGUUCCCCGCGCUCAGCGUGCCCAGGGCUCCUCUGGAUCAGCGCGGGGCACCGGCGUGCGCCAGACGCAGCAGAUACCUGGUGGCCUGUUCCAGGCCUGAGAGCCCGCUUCCAACGCCCCCGUCGUCGGGGCGGUCAGCAAUGGUUCCAGUUGCGGGAAGGACAGAUGAGCCGAGUGUGGGCGAGGAGAGGACAACCACCCCGACCAGGGCCCGGGAUGCCAGAGCGCAACCACGCGCUCCGCCCAAAGGGUCUCACAGGCACCGGUCAGACCCGCUCCCCGGCCGCUCUGCACAGGCCUAUCCCAAGGCCUGCGAGUCUUGGUGCUCACCCGUCCAGCCUUAGGGCCCGUCCCGAUUUCCCAUCCAUGGCCGCGCCCAACCCUCACCAGAGACCCGGGAGCCACACUCACCAGGAAGAGUGCACAGCUCGGCCAUCUUUCCGCGUUGAUCUCAGCACAGCCAGGCCGCUUGCCCCUCUGCCACCUUCCCGGCUGGGCCGCACGGGGGCAGGGUGGUGCCUCAGGGAACACAGAGGCGCCCCCUCCUGGCUCAGUGCACCCCCUGCCCACAUUCCCCGAGGCCAGACCCGGAGAGGGGACAGGGGACACUGA